rnacentral:rRNA from 1 species
UACGUAGGGUGCAAGCGUUGUCCGGAAUUAUUGGGCGUAAAGAGCUCGUAGGCGGUCUGUCGCGUCUGCUGUGAAAACUCGGGGCUUAACCCCGGGCCUGCAGUGGGUACGGGCAGACUAGAGUGCGGUAGGGGAGACUGGAAUUCUGGUGUAGCGGUGAAAUGCGCAGAUAUCAGGAGGAACACCGGUGGCGAAGGCGGUUCUCUGGGCAUUACCUGACGCUGAGGAGCGAAAGUGUGGGGAGCGAACAGG